CUCUAUCUAGCGACUGUGGUGCAGUUCACAUCUGACACUGGUGCAGUUCACUAUUAGCCAUGGGUCGGUUCAGUUUGUUGUUGUUUGCACAAUGCACUUGAUUGUUCCCUGGCACUUCACUCAAGUCAACUCAGGAAGUCCACCCACCACCGCCCCGAGAGUCCACUGCUUCAACUAAGGCAGUUGAGAGUCUCCUGUGCCCAGGUCAACUUUCUACUCCCGGUGCUGAUCAAUAUGAAUUGUGGUUGCUACUUUGGUUUUCUUAUGCGCAUAUAGUACUAAGUGAAUUGAGUUUCUUCUGCACAUAAUAGUUGUAUGGUGCACAUAAUAGCUCCGUGUUAGCCGGCGAACAUUGCUGUCUCAGGUUCGUUUACUCUUGUGAGUAAGUUCAUUUUCUGGGCAAGUUCAUUUUAUUACUGAAGUUCACUUUCUCUCUCCAUUGAAGUAAGGCUUUAUAUUGUCAUGAAGUUCAGUUUAUCCACGUAUAAGUUGAAGGUUUAUUGACCACCGGUAUUUGUAUGAACUCUGAUUAAAAAUACUUCAAAAUAGCAGUUUGCAUGAUUAUUUGAAGCAAUUCACUAAUGGUGAGGUUCACUUCAAAUCCAAAGCUUUAAUGUGUAGUCAACUACUUCCAUGUAAUUUUUAUUCUGUGCAAUUAUUGAGAAGAAGAGAGAUGCGAGAUUGAUGGAACAUUAAUUGAAACAGGGGAACACAUUUAGAAAAAAUUGGUCCGCCGGUCUGUGAAGUUCACUAUGUUUGGACGGAAAAGUUCAUUUCUAUGUUCAUUUGUCGUUUUUGUCUAGUGGUCUGUAACUUUUUUCCAUCAUGUGCAAUGUUGAAUGUGAGAGAUUAACCGGAUGCAAAAAAAAAAAUGAUUAUUAGGAAGAUUGCUUUAGUGCGACAUGAAGUUUGGUCUCCCAGGUGCGUGGCUGUGGACUCCUAUGAGCGCCGCCGUGGUCCCCUAGGCAGACCACUACCAGUUAACUUCACUCACAUCAUGGAAGCAAUAAUGUGUCAGGAGUCCAUGGCUUCGGCGAGUCUCUCAUGCCCAGGAACAACACUUGGAGCUCCCUUAAGAUGGCGUUUGGUGUACCUUUGAAGCCAUGGUCCUAAGCUUCUCCAAACCACCCCGUUCCCUGCCUCACUGGUCUCACUCCUGUACUCGUCUGGUUGACCGUGCCUUCCACCGAUGGGAGUUCACAAAGCCGCGUGUAGGAGUUCAUUGGCACCAGCACUUUCGGGCUCAUACGCGCACCUCGCCAAUGACAUGGCUGCCAUCCCAAGCUCUCGGCCUUACACAACGGGGGCGGCUCACAGACAACAACGAGUCCAGGCUCAUUACACAGCAGCAGCCCCCCAGCAGCAUACCAAUGAUGAGGCAGCACACUGCAUAUUUUUACAAGUAGCGGACAAUCCUAUAUGCGCACAACUAGUACCUGAUGUGGUUAGCUUCAGUUUUUUUAUAUUUUGGCUCUUGCCUAGAAAGUUCUGUAACACACCCUAAUUGAUUCUCUCUGUAAUUGAAUAUUUGCAUCAAUCGGUUCAUCGGCUUCAAAUAGAAAAAGAAGUUCACCUCGUCCCCAUAUGAAGUUAGCUUAUUUUUAUUUUGGAAGUUUGUUUUGUAUACUGAUAUUUUGUAUUUUGUGAUGCUGCUAGCUAUUUGU